ensembl:snoRNA
GGGAGAAGCUCAUGGUGUUGGCUGAAAUGUCUGAACCUGAUUGAGACAUCUUUGUGAUGUGGCACCUCUACGCCCUGAAGCUUCUCAAAGG